GAUGAACGCUAGCGGCAGGCUUAACACAUGCAAGUCGAGGGGUAUAGUUCUUCGGAGCUAGAGACCGGCGCACGGGUGCGUAACGCGUAUGCACUCUACCUUUUGCAGAGGGAUAGCCCAGAGAAAUUUGGAUUAAUACCUCAUAGUAUGUGAGACUGGCAUCAUUUUCACAUUAAAGUCACAACGGCAAAAGAUGAGCAUGCGUCCCAUUACCUUGUUGGUAAGGUAACGGCUUACCAAGGCAACGAUGGGUAGGGGUCCUGAGAGGGAGAUCCCCCACACUGGUACUGCGACACGGACCAGACUCCUACGGGAGGCAGCAGUGAGGAAUAUUGGACAAUGGGCGCAAGCCUGAUCCAGCCAUGCCGCGUGCAGGAUGACGGUCCUAUGGAUUGUAAACUGCUUUUGUACAGGAAGAAACACUGGUUCGUGAACCAGCUUGACGGUACUGUAAGAAUAAGGAUCGGCUAACUCCGUGCCAGCAGCCGCAGUAACAC
rnacentral:rRNA from 1 species